UUGGAACUGAGACACGGUCCAGACUCCUACGGGAGGCAGCAGUAGGGAGUAUUUGGCAAUGGGGGAAACCCUGACCGAGCAACGCCGCGUGUGCGAUGGAGUCCCUCAGGGACGUGAAGCACUGUGGGGGGCCGCCAAACGGGCGGGCAGGAAAUGGCCCGUCCCCGAGGAGCCCCCUAGAAAGCGACUGCUAACCACGUGCCAGCAGCAGCGGUAAUACGUGGGUCGCAAGCGUUAUCCGGAAUCAUUGGGCGUAAAGAGUGAGCAGGCGGUCCGGGAAGUCCGCGGUGAAAUGCGGGGGCUCAACCCCCGCAGGCCGCGGAUACUUCCGGUCUGGGGUGCGGGAGAGGCGGACGGAACUCCGCGUGUAGCGGUGAAAUGCACUGAUACGCGGAAGAACACCGGUGGCGAAGGCGGUCCGCCAGACCGAUACCGACGCUCAGUCACGAAAGCGUGGGGAGCAAAUAGGAUUAGAUACCCUAGUAGUCCACGCCGUAAACGAUGGGGGCCAGGGCGCGGGGUCGACCCGCGUCCGAAGCAAACGCAUUAAGCCCCCCGCCUGGGUACUACGUUCGCAAGAAUAAAACUUAAAGGAAUUGGCGGGUGCCCGCACAAGCAGUGGAGCAUGCGGUUCAAUUCGUGGCUACACGUAGAACCUUACCAGGGUUUGACAUGCCGGCAAAGGCCCCGGAGACGGGGAGAUAGCUAUGCCGGACAAAGGUGGUGCAUGGCUGUCGUCAGCUCGUGUCGUGAGAUGUUAGGUCAAGUCCUCCAACGAGCGCGACCCCCGCCGCCAGUUGCCAUCAUCGAGUUGGGCACUCUGGCGGGACCGCCGGCGACAAGCCGGAGGAAGGCGGGGAUGACGUCAAGUCAUCAUGCCCCUUAUGCCCUGGGCCACACGCGUGCUACAAUGGCCGGCACAGUGGGAAGCGACGCCGCGAGGCGGAGCGGAUCCCAAAAGCCGGUCCCAGUACGGACCGGGGGCUGCAACCCGCCCCCGCGAAGCUGGAAUUGCUAGUAAUCGCGGAUCAGCCAAGCCGCGGUGAAUGCGUUCUCGGGCAUUGCACACACUGCCCGUCACACCAUGAAAGCCUGCAACGCUCUAAGUCGCCAGCCCGACCCGAAAGGGGGGGCGGCGCCCAAGGCGGGGCCGGUGAUUGGGGUUAAGUCGAAACAAGGUAUCCCUACGAGAACGUGGGGAUG
rnacentral:rRNA from 1 species